rnacentral:rRNA from 1 species
GAGUUUGAUCAUGGCUCAGAAUGAACGCUGGCGGCAUGCCUAACACAUGCAAGUCGAACGAAGGCUUCGGCCUUAGUGGCGCACGGGUGCGUAACGCGUGGGAAUCUGCCCUUGGGUUCGGAAUAACAGUUAGAAAUGACUGCUAAUACCGGAUGAUGUCGUAAGACCAAAGAUUUAUCGCCCAAGGAUGAGCCCGCGUAGGAUUAGCUAGUUGGUGGGGUAAAGGCCCACCAAGGCGACGAUCCUUAGCUGGUCUGAGAGGAUGAUCAGCCACACUGGGACUGAGACACGGCCCAGACUCCUACGGGAGGCAGCAGUGGGGAAUAUUGGACAAUGGGCGAAAGCCUGAUCCAGCAAUGCCGCGUGAGUGAUGAAGGCCUUAGGGUUGUAAAGCUCUUUUACCCGGGAUGAUAAUGACAGUACCGGGAGAAUAAGCUCCGGCUAACUUCGUGCCAGCAGCCGCCGUAAG